ACAAAGUUGAUAAAAAUGGCUUAUUUUGGGUCUUCUAGAGUUUGGGUUUUCGUAUAAUAAUCAUCCAUCCAACCAUCCUUUCUGGCAGAUGUUGACAACAGUUUUCAGUUGAGUCACGGGGGCUGUGUUUAUGUGGAAUGCAUGAUAAUCAUGUUCUUUACAACCGUCCAUAAAGAACAAUAACUCCACCUUUUAUUGACUCAACAUCAAUAAAAGCCACUCCAGCACUGUAGCGUUGAGUCACUCACUGCACCAAUUUUUCAGUUUUUGAUUUGUUAAAAAAGUUUGAAAUAUCCAAUAAAUGUCGUUCCACUUCAUGAUUGUGUCCCACUUGUUGUUGAUUCUUCACAAAAAAAGACAGUUUUAUAUCUUUAUGUUUGAAGCCUGAAAUGUGGCAAAAGGUCGCAAAGUUCAAGGGGGCCGAAUACUUUCGCAAGGCACUGUAUUUUAUUAGUUAAACAUUUUGGGGACGAGCUUUGCUCCCAUUUUCCACCUUUUCACUGUAGGCUACGGGCGUGUUGCCUUGGCUAAAUGACCUUGAAGAUUGGCCUGUCGCCAGCUAGCUAGCGUAGGCUACAUGUUGUAUGUUCCCUUCGGGGGUACAGAGGGAACAGCGGUCAGGGGAGCGGGCUGAGCAGUGAACGUGAAACACCAGGUGUUGGUGUGGUAACGAAGGCAGUAGGCAGCCGUUUUGGGGAUAUGUUAGUGGUUGUCUGGGUGACAGACGGCUUGUACCUCUCUCCUUCUCUCUCUUGCUCUCUCUCACACAACGUUCUCUCUCCCACUACCUCUCUCUGGCACUUAAACGAUAUCGCCUUGGCAACUCGUGCCUGGGCAUAAUGAGGCGUGAGAUUCCACCGUUAAUAACACUGGUAGUUCAACCAGCAGUUCUCUCUCUCUGCUUUUUCCUGGGGGUUUUCUCUCCGUCAGCCAAUGUAUUUUUCCCCCUCUGUCUCUCACUUUCUCAUCUCAGCAUCUCCAAUUUAGCAUCUCUGAUUUAUUUCUGCUAGUCACCUGUUCAUUCCUUCUCUCGCCUCUCUCUUUCUCCUAUCUCUCUCCUUGAUAUCGUAUCCUCCUUCGUUGUCUUCAGUAAAGAGUCUAACUGUGUGAGCACUCACGGCUCCUCUGGCGUAUGGAACAUGCAGAGGUGUGUGUCAGUCAAACUGCUCUUCUCUGAAUCGCUUUUCAGCCGUGUUGCAUUCUAAUGGUUGUUUAACGAACCUACAAGCACACACACACACACACGCACGCACGCACGCACGCACGCACACGCACACGCACACGCACACACACACACACUCAACGGUCCACAAAUAGAUAUCCGCUUUGCAUCAGACACACACACUCCUUCGCAUCCCCUGUGCUACACACACCCCUCAGUCAGACACACACACACACACACAUCCUCUGUGUAAGUGACUAGACACUACCCACACACACCCCCACCCUUUCCAUUAGUCUCAUUUGUCAGGGGUUUAGAGGUGUGUUCAAAGCUCCUCCACGUUGUCCCAGGGUUUGUCAGGGCGUUUAGAGGUGUGUUCAAAGCUCCUCCACGUUGUCCCAGGGUUUGUCAGGGCGUUUAGAGGUGUGUUCAAAGCUCCUCCACGUUGUCCCAGGGUUUGUCAGGGCGUUUAGAGGUGUGUUCAAAGCUCCUCCACGUUGUCCCAGGGUUUGUCAGGGCGUUUAGAGGUGUGUUCAAAGCUCCUCCACGUUGUCCCAGGGUUUGUCAGGGCGUUUAGAGGUGUGUUCAAAGCUCCUCCACGUUGACCCAGGGUUUGUCAGGGCGUUUAGAGGUGUGUUCAAAGCUCCUCCACGUUGUCCCAGGGUUUGUCAGGGCGUUUAGAGGUGUGUUCAAAGCUCCUCCACGUUGUCCCAGGGUUUGUCAGGGCGUUUAGAGGUGUGUUCAAAGCUCCUCCACGUUGACCCAGGGUUUGUCAGGGCGUUUAGAGGUGUGUUCAAAGCUCCUCCACGUUGUCCCAGGGUUUGUCAGGGCGUUUAGAGGUGUGUUCAAAGCUCCUCCACGUUGUCCCAGGGUUUGUCAGGGCGUUUAGAGGUGUGUUCAAAGCUCCUCCACGUUGUCCCAGGGUUUGUCAGGGCGUUUAGAGGUGUGUUCAAAGCUCCUCCACGUUGUCCCAGGGUUUGUCAGGGCGUUUAGAGGUGUGUUCAAAGCUCCUCCACGUUGACCCAGGGUUUGUCAGGGUACUUUGACUCAUUUGAAGAUGUGCAGCUCCACCCCAGGCAGAUAAGAGCCUUGUUAAACCUUGAGUGGUGUAAAAGGGGUUGAAUAGGAUGAGGGGUGACACGAUGUUUAAAGUGGUUCCUCUAAGCCCUGGAGGAAACACAACAACAGUACAGGGUAUUAAUUACACCUUAUUGGAGAAGGGAAGCGGUUUACACACCACACAUGCU